rnacentral:rRNA from 1 species
UUGCUGCCUUCGGGAACGCUGAGACAGGUGCUGCAUGGCCGUCGUCAGCUCGUGUCGUGAGAUGUUGGGUUAAGUCCCGUAACGAGCGCAACCCCUAUCCCUAGUUGCCAGCGAUUCGGUCGGGAACUCUAGGGAGACUGCCGGUGACAAACCGGAGGAAGGUGGGGAUGACGUCAGGUCAUCAUGGCCCUUACGGCCAGGGCUACACACGUGCUACAAUGGCGCGCACAGAGGGUUGCGAACCCGCGAGGGGGAGCUAAUCUCAGAAAACGCGUCGUAGUCCGGAUCGCAGUCUGCAACUCGACUGCGUGAAGUCGGAAUCGCUAGUAAUCGCGAAUCAGAAUGUCGCGGUGAAUACGUU